rnacentral:rRNA from 1 species
AACGAACGCUGGCGGCAGGCCUCAAACAUGCAAGUCUAGGGGACGUAGCAAUACGUCACCGGCGGACGGGUGCGUAACACGUGGGAACGUACCCUUUGGUUCGGAACAACGCAGGGAAACUUGCGCUAAUACCGGAUGUGCCCGAAAGGGGAAAGAUUUAUCGCCAAAGGAUCGGCCCGCGUUCGAUUAGCUUGUUGGUGAGGUAAAGGCUCACCAAGGCGACGAUCGAUAGCUGGUCUGAGAGGACGAUCAGCCACACUGGGACUGAGACACGGCCCAGACUCCUACGGGAGGCAGCAGUUGGGAAUCUUGGACAAUGGAGGAAACUCUGAUCCAGCCAUGCCGCGUGAGUGAUGAAGGCCUUCGGGUUGUAAAACUCUUUCGACGGGGACGAUAAUGACGGUACCCGUAGAAGAAGCUCCGGCUAACUUCGUGCCAGCAGCCGCGGUAAUAC